CCUACGGGGGGCAGCAGUGGGGAAUAUUGCACAAUGGGGGAAACCCUGAUGCAGCGACGCCGCGUGAGCGAUGAAGUAUUUCGGUAUGUAAAGCUCUAUCAGCAGGGAAGAAAAUGACGGUACCUGACUAAGAACCCCCGGCUAACUACGUGCCAGCAACCGCGGUAAUACGUAAGGGGCAAGCGUUAUCCGGAUUUACUGGGUGGAAAGGGAGCGUGGACGGCGGUGCAAGCCAGAUGUGAAAGCCCGGGGCUCAACCCCGGGACUGCAUUUGGAACUGUGCUGCUAGCGUGUCGGAGAGGCAGGCGGAAUGCCUAGUGUAGCGGUGAAAGGCGUAGAUAUUAGGAGGAACACCAGUGGCGAAGGCGGCCUGCUGGACGAUGACUGACGUUGAGGCUCGAAAGCGUGGGGAGCAAACAGGAUUAGAUACCCCGGUAGUC
rnacentral:rRNA from 1 species